UAUUCCUGCCAGUUCGUGGCAGUGCCUGGCUUCCUAAUGUUUACCAGUUUAUUAAAGUUGGGGGCUUCCCUGGUGGCGCAGUGGUUGAGAAUCUGCCUGCUAGUGCAGGGGACGCGGGUUCGAGCCCUGGUCUGGGAGGAUCCCACAUGCCGCGGAGCGGCUGGGCCCGUGAGCCACAACUGCUGAGCCUGCGCGUCUGGAACCUGUGCUCCGCAACAAGAGAGGCUGCGAUAGUGAGAGGCCCGCGCACCGCGAUGAAGAGUGGCCCCCGCUCGCCGCAACUGGAGAAAGCCCUACGCACAGAAACGAAGACCCAAACACAGCCAUAAAUAAAUAAACCCAAAGAAGUAAUAAUCUUCUGAAGUAAGACAACACAAUCUGUUCACCAAUGUGAAUCACCUGUUCUGCCAUUAUGAGCACCCAGGGGCUUGUCUUUGAGAAGUGGACUGCUUA